GGUAAUUCUAGAGCUAAUACAUGCUGAAGACCCCGACUCACGGAGGGGCGUAUUUAUUAGAUUAAAAACCGAUGCCCUCCGGGGCUCACCGGUGAUUCAUGAUAACUUCUCGGAUCGCACGGCCUUGCGCCGGCGAUGGUUCAUUCAAAUUUCUGCCCUAUCAACUUUUCGAUGGCUGGGGUCUUGGCCAGCCAUGGUGACAACGGGUAAACGGAGGGUCAGGGCCUCGACCCCCGGAAAGGGAACCCUGAGAAACGGCUACCCACAUCCAAGGAAGGCAGCAGGCGCGCAAAUUACCCAAUCCCGACCCGGGGGAGGUAGUGACAAUAAAUACUGAUGUAGGGCUCUUUUGGGUCUUGCGAUUGGAAUGAGUACAAUUUAAAUCCCUUAACGAGGAACAAUUGGAGGGCAAGUCUGGUGCCAGCAGCCGCGGUAAUUCCAGCUCCAAUAGCGUAUAUUAAAGUUGUUGAGGUUAAAAAGCUCGUAGUUGAACCUUGGGCCUGGCUGGCCGGUCCGCCUCACCGCGUGCACUGGUUCGGCCGGGUCUUUCCCUCUGGGGAGCCGCAUGCCCUUUACUGGGCGUGCUGGGGAACCAGGACGUUUACCGUGAAUAAAUUGGAUCGCUUAAAGAAGGCCUAUGCUCGAACAUUGCAGCAUGGAAUAAUGAAAUAGGACGCGUGGUUCUAUUUUGUUGGUUCUAGGACCGCCGUAAUGAUUAAUAGGGACAGUCGGGGGCGCCCGUAUCUCAAUUGGUCCAGAGGGUGAAAUUCUUGGAUCUGUUGAAAGACGAACUACUGCGAAAGCAUUCGCCAAGGCAUGUUUUUUCAUUAAUCAGGAACGAAAGUUAGGGGAUCGAAGACGAU
rnacentral:rRNA from 1 species